rnacentral:lncRNA from 1 species
GACACUGUCUGCCCUAUAACCCACCCUCUUGAUGCUGCCUGCCCCAUAUUCCACCCUCCUGAUGCUGCCUGCCCCAUACCCCAGGCUGGGGUGCUCAAACCUUCUCCUUCCUAGAACCCCCAGUGCACAAGACUCGGGAGGUGGGUGGUGCUCCCUGCCUUUUGCCCCCAGGCUGAUUUCUCAAGAAGGCUCAUUAGAGGGUGAUUGGGAGGAAUACUUGAGCCAGAGCUAUUUGGGAGGGGUCCCUGCCCUCUUAGGUGCCCACCUCCCCACCCAGCAGCUCCCAUGCCACCCCACCCUCUUGCCUGGGUCACAGUGACCUUUGUCUGGGGCAGAAAUCAAGCCUCCACCCUCCACCACCGGGCAGAGCAUCAGGGAUGAGUGCCGACCCAGCCAGCCCGGAUCUCAGCUUUCCGAGGGAAGGGCAGCUCUCAGCAAGGCUUCCUCCACUCCCCUCUCUGCUGCGAUGAGUUUUGUUUUACAAAGUGUACAAACAAAUAACUCCGGUAUUUGUUUGGUAGACUUAGGUUUUUGUGUUUGUGUUUUGCUUAAAGUGGGACAUGUCUAUCACUCAGCAUACCCAAACCACCUAGUUGUAAGACAAGAUUUACAUUUGUUCCUUAAGUAGUCAGCUCCUGUCAGUGGAUGCAGCAUGAAAACGUGACAAGUCAUGGACUUCAACAGUCGGAAACAUCUCUAAACGGCUGUCUUCUCAGCCCAGCAGAAGAGCCCUCAGCCAUACCAGGGCUAGCCAGCCUUCCAGAGGAGCCUGUCCCCUGCUCUCCUGGGGACCCCAGCACCGGCUGAAGCCUCCAGAGUGACUCAUGGCUCUAUGUCCAUCACUGCAGCUCUGGAGGAGUAACCACGGCACACAUACCCUUCUAUGGGACACCUGCAAAUACUUUUCAAUAAGCUCGAGUCCAUUUCAUCAUCAACACAAACAGAAAGACCCUCCACUAGGUCUCUCACCCGCUUGACAUAAAUUUGUUUUUCAUAUUCCUCAUGGAAAAUAGAGCUACGCUUGAUCAGGAAGGUGAAAAUGGAAUGGGUGAGGGUAUUUAAAUUCUCUCUUCUCUCUCUUCCCUCCUUGCUAUGUGUACUUGGAAUAAGUGCACACGCUCAGCUUUAAGAGCUGUUUGGGACUUGGGAACCAGCUUGCCUGGACAUCAGAGGCCACAAAGUCCGUCCCUGUCUCUUUGCAGUCUGUGCAGUUGCCCCGGUUGGUGGAGCCAUGGUGGCUGUGCCCUGUGGGUUGUGAAUGAUUGCAGGGGGGCUGCGGAUCAAUAAAUGCUGCAAGAAUGACCCAUAAAUCAAAGAGCAAUAUGCCUCCCACUCAUAAAUGGGGCCAUUUUUCAAAAAGACGUCGAUGGUGUGGUGGUCAGUAAUGCA